GUAACACACUGGACCUUUGCAAAUUGCGAGGUUCGAGUGUUUGGUUGUAUUUCGAGCUUUUCCACACUUGGUGGAGGGUUGUAAAAUGUUCCCCGACCCGAAAAGUUCGAAAUCUGGAACUUUGGACAAGUCCUGAGAGUUUUUACUCUCGGGGACCGGUCCCUGGAAGGAGAGACCGGUCCCCCCAGUGAGCAGUGUUGAGGCAGCCUGAGGCAACCGGUCCCUGGCAGGCGAGACCGGUUCCCGAACGCGUCUUCGCAGUGAGAGACCGGUCCCGCGCAGGGAGAGACCGGUUCCCGAACGCUGGUUUUUCG
rnacentral:lncRNA from 1 species